rnacentral:lncRNA from 1 species
CUCUCAAAACCCUAGGACUACAUUGUGAAUGCUAAUUAAGUUAGAAGGAACAAACCUAUAUUUAUAAAGUCCUAAAACCUUUCCUACAAGAAAGGGACUACUCAAAAUAUUAAAACCUUUUCCUAAAAGGAAAACUUAUUUAUGGUAAGAAAUCAGGGCAAAUAAACCCCAACAAAUCUCCCCCUUGGCCUGAAUUUCUGACAAAAUAAAUUUGUCCACCUUCUUUACAUAAUCUUUAGGAUCUUGCAUCUCUUCUCCAUAAUCUCCUCCAUCAAAUCUACGUCUCGAAACAGAGAACCUCUCUGAAACAAUUUCUCCAAUAGAAAUCUUCAUUACUGUCAAAAAGGUUGCGACUAGAACUAUACCCGGCAAGAUGAACACCCAUCUCUAACAUGACUCCAUCAUUGAACCAUGGCUCUGAUACCACUUGUUAGGACCGAAAUAAGCAGGUGUAAUGCGGAAGCUAGCAAAGUGAAUCUCGAAAGACCAUGAAUAAGAAGACAAACGAGAAACAUACCAAAGGACACAAAUAUUUAACGUGGUUUGGUCAAUCGAUCUACGUCCACAAAGGAGAUGAGCAAUCCACUAUAAUUAUGAGAGUACAAAAUAUAGAGAGAAACAACCUCAACCAAUUCACUCGGAAUACAAGUAGGUUCACAAAUUCUCCCCCAUAACCGAAACUCUCAAAACCCUAGGACUACAUUGUGAAUGCUAAUUAAGUUAAAAGGAACAAACCUAUAUUUAUAGAGACCUAAAACCUUUCCUACAAGAAAAGGACUAGUCAAAAUAUUAAAACAUUUUCCUAAAAGGAAAACCUUUUUAUGGUAAGAAAUCAGGGAAAAUAAAACCCAACAAAUCUCCCCCUUGGCCUGAAUUUCUGACAAAAUAAAUUUGUCCACCUUCUUCACAUAAUCUUUAGGAUCUUGCAUCUCUUCUCCAUAAUCUCCUCCAUC